rnacentral:rRNA from 1 species
AUUGAACGCUGGCGGCAGGCCUAACACAUGCAAGUCGAGCGGAUGAAGGGAGCUUGCUCCUGGAUUCAGCGGCGGACGGGUGAGUAAUGCCUAGGAAUCUGCCUGGUAGUGGGGGAUAACGUCCGGAAACGGGCGCUAAUACCGCAUACGUCCUGAGGGAGAAAGUGGGGGAUCUUCGGACCUCACGCUAUCAGAUGAGCCUAGGUCGGAUUAGCUAGUUGGUGGGGUAAAGGCCUACCAAGGCGACGAUCCGUAACUGGUCUGAGAGGAUGAUCAGUCACACUGGAACUGAGACACGGUCCAGACUCCUACGGGAGGCAGCAGUGGGGAAUAUUGGACAAUGGGCAAAAGCCUGAUCCAGCCAUGCCGCGUGUGUGAAGAAGGUCUUCGGAUUGUAAAGCGCUUUAAGUUGGGAGGAAGGGCAGUAAGUUAAUACCUUGCUGUUUUGACGUUACCAACAGAAUAAGCACCGGCUAACUUCGUG